UACGUAGGGUGCAAGCGUUAAUCGGAAUUACUGGGCGUAAAGCGUGCGCAGGCGGUUAUGCAAGACAGAUGUGAAAUCCCCGGGCUCAACCUGGGAACUGCAUUUGUGACUGCAUAGCUGGAGUGCGGCAGAGGGGGAUGGAAUUCCGCGUGUAGCAGUGAAAUGCGUAGAUAUGCGGAGGAACACCGAUGGCGAAGGCAAUCCCCUGGGCCUGCACUGACGCUCAUGCACGAAAGCGUGGGGAGCAAACAGGAUUAGAUACCCUGGUAGUCCACGCCCUAAACGAUGUCAACUGGUUGUUGGGAAGGUUCCUUCUCAGUAACGUAGCUAACGCGUGAAGUUGACCGCCUGGGGAGUACGGCCGCAAGGUUGAA
rnacentral:rRNA from 1 species